GUGCGAGUAACGUUAUUUAGCCGCUCCACGUCAUCGCUUUUAUUUUUCCGCUGAAUUUUGGCUUCUGGUUUGAAAACGGUGACGAAGACGACGCCGAACCUCAAGAAGUCCCGAGGUUCUUUGCGUCACCGCAUUCCGCAUUUUGUGACAAAGAGAGAGGCCGACGCGCGUCAACCGAACGACUGCGUUUUUUGUCGAGCGUGAAUCCAUUGUGUGCAUUGGUUGCUUUCCGAGCUUAGCGGAAAACCCUGCACGCGAAGCCAACCUCGCGGAGCUCACGAAACUCACCGACGACUUCUCCCGAGGAUCUUUUGACAGACAGUUGAAUUGGAAGCACAGCUUUGCAAGCGCACAAGGGCGCCCUGUCUACCCGCAGUGCUAAAUUAUCGGGCAGCACCACAAAAGAAUGCCGGCCAAAGAGCAAAUGUCACCCGCGGAACCACGUGACCAUCAACCCACGAGCCAAUCGCAACAGGAACGCUGCAAGGAAAGACCACUCGACGUGAAGAGAAAACCGUACCACGCGAAUGUUUUGCUCUUGCUAAAUUUAUGGCUUUAAUUCGAUAGAACCUUGUUUGUUCACGACAAUCAAAACGAGUUCGUCUGUCACUGCAACUGACAGUAAUUGUGCUCUGAUACGCGUGUGGAAGGGGGAACUGGCACAUUUAUAAAACGGCACAAGAAAAAAAGAAAAUUUCGAUUUAGUCAUCUUGAAUUCAAUAAUUAUCUUGAUUGCUGUAAUUUUCUUGAACGAAGUGAUUGCAAAACGGAAGUGAUCUCAUGAAAUAUGAAUGCUUGCUUUAAGUGAACAAAUUUUAUUCCGCAAAAAGCCGCUGUGUUGCUUUAUACCUAUUGAUUCGUCCGAGGCAACGAAAAACGUGCUCAUUCUCCAUGCGUGCGUUUUAAUCAAUAUUUUAUUGUAAAGGAAUAUCGAAUACAUGCACUUAACUGACAAAAUUAAAACUGUCAUUGUACUAAAAUUCCACCGCAUGAAUUGAAAUGUCAGUCGAAAAAGCAAAUGACAAAAUACAUGUUCGGUGCAUGCAAAAAAAAAUUCAAGGUCAAGGUUGAUCAUGGCUUGCGUGUAAAAGUUUUUAUUUAUUUAGAUGUUUUAUACUGUGCAACAGUAACAAUACAAUAAGUUGUCCAUACAAUCGAGCGAAUCAACAGAAAAACGGAAAACACAGGUGACAUGACGUCAUGAGCGUGAAAUGUCGCAGAACCGGAAAAUGUUUUCCAUUAAAAAAAAAAACA